GACGAACGCUGGCGGCGCGCUUAACACAUGCAAGUCGAACGGAAAGGCCUGCUUUCCCUUGUGGAUUGCGGGUACUCGAGUGGCGAACGGGUGAGUAACACGUGAGUGAUCUGCCCCCAACUUGGGUAUAAGCCUGGGAAACUGGGUCUAAUUCCCGAUAGGACUGCAGGGUGGUGCCUGUGGUGGAAAACGAUUUUCUAGUGGUUGGGGAUGAGCUCGCGGCCUAUCAGCUUGUGGUGGGGUAAUGGCCUACCAAGGCGGCGACGGGUAGCCGGCCUGAGAGGGUGGACGGCCACAUUGGGACUGAGAUACGGCCCAGACUCCUACGGGAGGCAGCAGUGGGGAAUAUUGCACAAUGGGCGGAAGCCUGAUGCAGCGACGCCGCGUGGGGGAUGACGGCCUUCGGGUUGUAAACUCCUUUCGACCGCGAGGAAGCCACCUGGUUGGAAGGGUGGUGACGGUAGUGGUAGAAGAAGCACCGGCUAACUACGUG
rnacentral:rRNA from 1 species